GACCUGGUGGUGAAUGGAUCACACCUACCUACUUUACGGCAGAUGUUGCAGUUGUGCAUAGGAGCUCCUGGUUCGAAUCCGGGCUAGGUCA